GCGUCUAGCGGUACUGACUGCAAUCAACCUCCGAAUGCCAGGAAUUGUAGAUUCAGGAGUCAGUGUAUGAGGUGAUAACGUCCAUACGCGAAAGGAAAACAAUCCAGACCAUCAACUAAGGUCCCUAAAUAUAUGUUAAGUGGGAAAGGAUGUGGAGACGCACGAACAGCUAGGAGGUUGGCUUAGAAGCAGCCAUCCUUUAAAGAGUGCGUAAUAGCUCACUAGUCGAGUAUCUCUGCGCCGAAAAUGUACCGGGGCUAAACAUAUUACCGAAGUUAUGGAUUUAUAAUUUAUUAUAAAUGGUAGGGGAGCGUUCUAAGGGCGCUGAAGGUAGAUCGUGAGGACUACUGGAGCGCUUAGAAGUGAGAAUGCCGGUGUGAGUAACGUAAGGUAGGUGAGAAUCCUACCCACUAUUUGACCAAGGUUUCCAGGGUCAAGUUCGUCUUCCCUGGGUUAGUCAGGACCUAAGGCGAGGCUGAAAAGCGUAGUCGAUGGACAACAGGUUUAUAUUCCUGUACUGCUUAUAAGACUGAUGGAGUGACGGAGAAAGCUAGGAAGGGCCAGUUAUUGGAUUCUGGUCUAAGCAAGUAGGCUGAUACAUAGGAAAAUCCGUGAUAUCGAUAAGGCUGAGAUGUGAUGGCGACGUGGUCUACGGACUACUAAGUCUUCUGAAGCUAUGCUUCCAAGAAAAACUUCUAAAGAUAUGUUAUAAGUACCUGUACCUAGAACCGACACAGGUGGUCAAGGAGAGAAUCCUAAGGUGAGCGAGAGAACUAUGGUUAAGGAACUCGGCAAAAUUACCCCGUAACUUCGGAAUAAGGGGAGGUUUCUUCGGAAACCCGCAGUGAAUAGGUCCAGGCAACUGUUUACCAAAAACACAGGUCUCUGCUAAAGCGUAAGCUGAUGUAUAGGGGCUGACGCCUGCCCAGUGCUGGAAGGUUAAGAUGAUUUGUUAGGUGGACGAAAGUCGAUAACACCGAAGCUUUGAUUUGAAGCCCCAGUGAACGGCGGCGAUAACUAUAAUCGUCCAAAGGUAGCGAAAUUCCUUGUCAGGUAAGUUCUGACCCGCACGAAAGGCGUAAUGAUCUGGACGCUGUCUCAACCAUAGACUCGGUGAAAUCUUAAUACCUGUGAAAAUGCAGGUUACCCGCGACAGGACGGAAAGACCCCAUGGAGCUUUACUGUAGCUUGAUAUUGAAGUUAGGUAAUUUAUGUAGAGGAUAGGUGGUAGACUAUGAUGUAUGGACGCCAGUCUUCAUACGGAGUCGCCCUUGGAAUACCACCCUUAAAUUAUUUGACCUCUAACUUACUCCCGUUAUCCGGGAGGAGGACAGUGUCUGGUGGGCAGUUUGACUGGGGCGGUCGCCUCCCAAAGAGUAACGGAGGCGCUCAAAGGUUCCCUCAGAUUGGUCGGAAAUCAAUCAAAGAGUGUAAUGGUAUAAGGGAGCUUGACUGCGAGACCUACAAGUCGAGCAGGUGCGAAAGCAGGACAUAGUGAUCAGGCGGUAGAAUAUGGAAUUGCCGUCGCUUAACGGAUAAAAGUUACCCUGGGG
rnacentral:rRNA from 1 species